UCCGGUAUGGUGUAACGGCUAACAUUGCCGCCUUUCAUGCGGAACUGAAUGCACUCGAUCGCGGCAGCUCGGGGUUCGAUUCCCCGUACCGGAA